AUACUAGUAUUCCUUCCUAUGGCUAUGGAUAUGGCCUUGAGUUAUACAUGUUAAUUUGUCAUACUAAGUGUUGGUGUGAAAUAUUUGCAGGAGGAAAGAAGAAUGUCCUUACCAAAGUAUCAGGUGCAUGAUGAGACUAGCCAGGUAAGUAAUAAUUACCUAAUACUAGUAUUCCUUCCUAUGGCUAUGGAUAUGGCCUUGAGUUAUACAUAUUUCCAGAUGGUUGGUGUUAGUUUCAUUUCUCAGAUUCAGUUGUUUACUAUUCUUUCAUAUUCGUAAAGCAAAUUUGUAAGUCUUUCCUUUCUCCUUCAUCUUGUUGAGAAUAGCUAGUACUCUUGCAUGAGUAUCUCAUAAUCCAUCAAUUAUACUGUAUGUUUCAACCCCAUUAAUUGAUGGGCUUCUUUAUCUUCUUUUGGCCAUUCUCCGGUUGCCAAGCAAUCCCAACAGUUUUAUGGUCAUCAAAGAUUCAAGUAUGUAUCUUCAUCAUCUUUUGCUGGUAGUUAAAGUAAUGACAUUUCUGACUACUAUGCUGCCACCCACUCAAGGAAUGUCCAACUAGCACCACACAAGAAUAAGAAAAAACGUGUAUGUAUUAGUUCUUGGAAAUUUCCUUUUCUGCUGUAGUUACAUGUUCUCCUUGAGCUUUUCUUUGACCUUAAAAUGAGUUGGGUUUGGGUGAGCAAGCAUAGACUCUACAGAUAUUUGCAAAUUACUUUGAUUAUGCUAUAGAUAUUUAUGGUCGAACAGUGGUUCAAAUUUGGCCCAGGUCAGAUUCUUUUGCAAAUUCAGAAAAAGCAGGCUAUGUUUUUUACUCGUACAUUGUGCUGAUAACCUUUGAGUUUCUAUCCUAAAAUUUCCUGUCUGUGGUUCUUUCUUUCAGAUGACUUCAAUAGAUGCGGCAAUAGACACGUGCUGAUAACCUUUGAGUUUCUAUCCUAAGAUUUCCUGCCUGUGGUUCCUUCUUUCAGAUGACUUCAAUAGAUGCGGCAAUAGACAGAAGAAUAUCAGAAAGCAGACUUGCGGGGCGCAUGGCUUUUUAGACCUGGUGAUUUUGCUCUGAGUGGCUGGGUGCUCAUGCAACAUUUUAGACCUGGUGAUUUUGCUCUGAGUGGCUGGGUGCUCAUGCAACUGUAGGAUAAUGUUCUAACUUUAAAGAAAUUUUAAUUUGAGAAGAUACUCCUUUCAUCUGGAUUCAUAGGAUGGUUUAGAUGUUGUAUUCUUUGUG
rnacentral:lncRNA from 1 species